rnacentral:hammerhead_ribozyme from 1 species
AUCUAGCUGACGAGUUGCAAAUAGGACGAAGUGACGCGCGUCCUUGAU